AAGGCCUUCGGGUUGUAAACCGCUUUUGUCAGGGAAGAAAGCUCCGAACUAAUAAUUUGGGGUGAUGACGGUACCUGAAGAAUAAGCACCGGCUAACUACGUGC
rnacentral:rRNA from 1 species